UAUGUGAACAUGCCUAUUCCUUGGCACAGAACUUGGAUCCUGAUAGUGAGGGAAGGGGUGUCUUGCAAUUCAAAACUGGUCUCAUGUCAGUUAUCAAGCAAAAACUUGCCAAACGAGAAGCAGGAGCCAUAGAUAGGACCCAGGACAUUGCCCGUUUGCAGGAGUUUUACAAGCUACAAGGAAAAACACAAAAUAGAUGAUUUAGAACGCAGAAGCAUGAAAAGGAAGAGGGUUUUGGCAACAUUGAAAGUUGAGCGGUUGUUGAACAGCUCAGUAAGGAAGUAUCCCCAGAAGAUGCAGACAAAUUAAUUCCUGAAGAG